rnacentral:tRNA from 1 species
GCGGAUGUGGCGGAACAGGCAUACGCGCAAGUCCGAGAAGCUUGUUUUUGGAGGUUCGAAUCCUCUCAUCCGCACCA